UACGUAGGUGGCAAGCGUUGUCCGGAUUUACUGGGCGUAAAGGGCGUGCAGGCGGUUUGCUAAGUCUAGGGUGAAAGCUCCCGGCUCAACUGGGAGAGGUCCUUGGAUACUGGCGAACUUGAGGGAUGCAGAGGAAAGUGGAAUUCCCGGUGUAGUGGUGAUAUGCGUAGAUAUCGGGAGGAACACCAGUGGCGAAGGCGGCUUUCUGGGCAUUUCCUGACGCUGAGACGCGAAAGCGUGGGGAGCGAACCGG
rnacentral:rRNA from 1 species